rnacentral:rRNA from 1 species
UACGUAGGCAGCGAGCGUUGUUCGGAGUUACUGGGCGUAAAGGGUGUGUAGGCGGUUCUUUAAGUUUGGCGUGAAAUCUCCCGGCUCAACCGGGAGGGUGCGUCGAAUACUGAGGGACUAGAGUACGGGAGAGGAAAGUGGAAUUCCUGGUGUAGCGGUGAAAUGCGUAGAUAUCAGGAGGAACACCGGUGGUGUAGACGGCUUUCUGGACCACUUCUGACGCUGAGACACGAAAGCGUGGGUAGCAAACAGG